CCGGGCCGCGGCGCAUAUAGGUGGACUGGGCGGCCCCCUCCCGUCGCGCACGCCCCCGCCCACUCCCCGGGUUCCCACUCCCCCGCCGCUCAUGUGACACCGGCUUAAGCCGAACGGGACCGAAGCCGGGGGACGCCUCCCCGAGCUGUGGGACCGAGCGGCAGCGCGCCCCGGAGCCCCAGUCGCCGCCUGGGACUGGACACGCUCCCCGCCCGCGGGAAGGCGGCGAACUCCGGCGCGCCGGCCUUACUGCUCCCCCGACGCGCUCCAAACCCCAGGCGGCCCGCGGCUGGAGAAGGGACGCGAGGAAACCCGGAAAGCGUUUCAUUUCUCCUUCCCUGGGUCCGGAGAGGAGAAACUUGAGGAAGGAUUCCGUUGAGAGGAAAGAACUGAAAAGGCGAGCAAGUGAAAGGGAAGAGGCCCCGCAGGAUGGACUGAAGGUAUGGAAUUGACCGGUCUUUCCAUCCAGGACUCACUGGUGGCCAUCACACUGUGAUACUAGUUCCAUAUAACGCCAUCUCCCACAGAGAAAACAGAAUUACUAAACAUGCUGAUUUUUUACAGAUACUAAGGUGCGAUGACAAAGGAACCGAGAUCGAGGGCAGAAUUCUUGCCAUUCUUGCCAUUCACUGCCAUGGCCAGUGGUCAUGAACUGAGGCUCAAGAAGUUUGCUCAAGUCAUGGCAGGGCAGACAACAUUGAUGUCCCUUCAGGCACCAGUCAGGCCUUUCCCUGGAUGGGAGAUCUCCUGACUCAGCAGCAACAGGCUCUGAGACUAGCCGAAUCCACCACCAGCACUGCAGACAACUGUUUCUGCCCCAAUCUAGUCAGUAAUGAGUCACCCAGAAAGCCAUAAGUGCUUUGCUAUUGAAAGAACCUAGGUCUGGAGUAGAUGACCCAAUUUCCUUGGAAAGAAGAAAUCAUGUCUACGAGUUCUGGGAGUACUUAUUAGGCACCUACUCUGUGCCAGGCAGAAUUCUAGGAGACCCACAGAAGAGCCCUAUUCCUCCCAAACCUUCUGGACUAGCUGUGGCCAAACAAUGGGCUUCCGCCUCUAGAAUUCAUCAUCCAAGAAUCCAUCAGAUACUUACUGACAGGCUGAGAGAAUAGAAACGAAUUGGACUGCCACGUGAGGUGACAUAAACAAUGUAGAGUACCAGCCCAGUGCCUGACAUGCACCAGGCCACCUAGAUGCUCAGCAGUUUCUUUUUCCUACCCUACUAUGUGUCAUUCAUUGGCCGUGCAAGUCUCCAUGAGGAAACACAAAAAAUCUGCAAGAUUCUGGAAAGUAAAAGCUCUGUGGACCUCCCAGCCCAGAGUUCUGGGGAUUUCCUUCAGCGUGUCCCAAAUCUCUAACCUUACACCCUAAUGGUCACGGGUUCCUUAUUGGCUCUUCCUAAGAGAACUAAGGACAGUAGUAUUUGCAGAAGGCUAAAAGGAGGGAGGGAACUCACCAUGGUUUCUUGGGUUCCUGGCUCCAUAGGUCAGAGAUCUCAGUUGCAUUGCCGGUCCCAACAGCAGGCUAAUUUAUGCACACCUUUGUCACUGAAUUCCCAUAGACACCAUUUAUGGUUGUCUCUCUAAUAUAUAUCAUAUAUUAUAGCGUUCUC